AAAGUCGUAACAAGGUCUCCGUUGGUGAACCAGCGGAGGGAUCAUUAUAGAGUUGCCCUAACUCCCAAACCCAUGUGAACUUACCUACUGUUGCCUCGGCAGGUCGCGGCCUCCCCCGCCCGGGGCGGACGCGAGCAAGCCUGCCGCUGGCCCCCUAAACUCUGAUUAGCCCUGCAAAUCUGAUUUACAAACAAAUAAGUUAAAACUUUCAACAACGGAUCUCUUGGUUCUG
rnacentral:misc_RNA from 1 species